CCUCGCACAUCAAGCCGCCGCCAAUCCUUGCGCUACCUCGACGGGAGCCAUCGAUCUUCUUCAGGAGACGCCGCCGAUCCCGUUGAGGAGCCGCCGCCGACCGCGUCCAGGAUCCGAGACUGAUCCCCUUCAGGAGCCGACGCCGAUCCCCUGAGCUACUGGCGCUGGCCAGGCUCCAGACCGAUGGACACGCUUGCUCGCCGCUCCUCGGGGCCAGCCCCUCCCGCCGCGUCGGAUCACGCAUCGGCUUGGGGACCCCUCGGGGAUGCCGCCGGUGCAAAAGGCGUCCGCGAUAGUGCGGGCUGGGGACCGAGCAGCUGGGCAUGUCGCGUCCAGGGCUUGGUCGGGCGAUGAAAUUUUGGCUGAUUGGCUGCAUGUCGCUUCGGAUUUGGUGAAUGUGUCUUGUUCAUCAAUGCCGCCGGGUGUGCCAUUGAAGGCAAUGACCCCUCUGCAAAGUUUGCCAGUGAUUGUUCGUUUAAAGGCCGGGACAUCUGAGAGCAUAGUUGAAGGCGGCGACUAUCCGUCGUUGUACAACUCGGCACACUACAACGAUUUCAGCUACAAAUUCGAUGGUCUUGCCCCUGGAGACUAUUAUCUGGAUAUGCACACGGAUGGGCCAAAAGGAAUCAGAUCAUUUGAUGUGCUCGUGCAAGAAGACAAGGCAAACUUACGACCUGUCUGUCUUUUUAAAUUUCGUUGCAUGGUUUCCCUAUCCACAUUUGGCUCAAACAGUCUACCUUUUUUGUUCAUAGAUUUUGUCUGAACUUGAUGUGUUCGUGGUAGUUUGGAGGUAACAGGCCCCUUCAGGUGCUUGACAUUAGGGCUUUUUUUUGGACUAAGAGCAAUGGUGCUAUCAUCAACUUCAAGGGAGUAAGAGGGAACCCAUGGUUUGCGGCAUCUGCAUUCGGAAAGCCCCACCAACACCAGAAAAGGACACUAAACUGAUCCCAAAGUACGAGAAACAGAUAGAGGAGCUAACCAGCCAAUGCACCAUGAAGUCCGUGGUCUUUAGUAGAAUCUACCAAUCAGGAACUUAUCAGGCCUAAGAUGGAGCUUCACCAAAAGCUUGUGCAAAGUGAUAAUUUUGCAACUUCAGGAUCCCCUCCACCCAACGUCCUUGUGGCGGCUCAGGCACAGCAACGAGCCCCGUGCUACUUCUCUAGAGGAGGAGAGAGUCGGCCAAGGAGGAGGGGGCGACGCAUGGCUGGUGGUUGGCUAGAAGAGAGCCGCCUUGGACCUGGGCGACGGAGGAAGGAGGCAUCGGUGCAGCACCUGGGCCGCGCAGGUCGCCGCCGCCCAGACCGUGCACCACCGCCUGUUGGUCCUCCAGAUCGUGCCCGGCCGCGGGGCGGCCAGAUCGGCACGAGGUCGC